CCUACGGGUGGCAGCAGUAGGGAAUAUUGGACAAUGGGCGAAAGCCUGAUCCAGCAACGCCGCGUGCGCGAUGAAGGCCUUCGGGUUGUAAAGCGCUUUUCGGGGGGAUGAGGAAGGACAGUACCCCCGGAAUAAGUCUCGGCUAACUACGUGCCAGCAGCCGCGGUAAAACGUAGGAGGCAAGCGUUAUCCGGAUUUACUGGGCGUAAAGCGCGUGCAGGCGGUUCGGUAAGUCGGACGUGAAAGCUCCUGGCUCAACUGGGAGAGGCCGUUCGAUACU
rnacentral:rRNA from 1 species